GUCGCCAAUUUCUUCAACCAGCAAUCCCAUCUCAAAGAAGUGGAAAGUUGCGUUGCCUGAUGGGUCUCUUGACGUUCACUCUGAACCUCGACGCCUCGAGACCCAAGAAAUACCCCAGAUUGUUGAGCAGUACCGUCAGGCUGCCUUGAAUGCCAUUCGAGCAGGUCAGUCUCAUUUCAUCACGUACUGGUUUGUUUUCAUAACGUGUACGCAUCACAUGCUCUGAAACACAAUGGUCCAUUCUUCGAUCAUCGCGCAUACUUGAAGCUUUGAUCUUACGAUGUAUCUUUGAUAAUGGACAGGUUUUGAUGGAGUUGAGAUCCAUUCGGCACAUGGCUACCUCAUCGAUCAAUUCUUGAAAGAUGGGGUCAAUGAUCGAACUGACGAGUACGGUGGCUCGCUUGCAAACCGCUGCAAGUUCUUGAUCCAAACUGUUGAAGCAGUAGUUGAAUCCCUUGGUGCUGAUAGAGUUGCCGUCAGAAUCUCACCAGCUAUUGAUUUCUAUGAUGCUACAGACGCCGACCCGAUUGGCCUAGGCUUGGCAGUGAUUGAAAGACUCAACAAGCUUCAACAUAACAUAGGCUCAAAGCUCGCUUAUCUUCAUGUGACUCGGCCUCGUUUGACUUUGACCGCCAUUAUGACGUCGGUGCCGGCAGAGGUUGAUGAAGACAGAGAAGCUCAAUUUAUGAGGACUUUGCGGGAAGCUUAUGAAGGGGCGUUCAUGGCUAGUGGAGGGUUUACUAGGGAGCUAGGAAUGAAAACUGUGUCUUCUGGUGAUGCCGAUUUAGUGUCAUAUGGCCGGGAUUUUAUCUCAAACCCUGACUUGGUGUUGAGGUUUAGGCUGAAUGCUCCCUUGAACAAGUAUAAUAGGGAGACUUUCUACACCCAUGACCCUGUAGUUGGGUACACAGACUACCCUUUUCUGAACAUAGAAAGUUGAUAGAGGAUGACCACUACCCUGUUUGAUUUUGAUGCUGCUGAAAUUGUUAUUGUUCAAUAAAACCUUCUCAUAUAGAGAAAGUAAAAAUCAAAUAAAGAUCCAAGUAAAUAUUUGUACCUAUGCAAAUAAGUUCUUUGCAGCUCCAGAUUCCCUACAAAUUAGUACCUACAAAUUAGUACCAAUGAAGCCCAAUCAAUAUUUGAAUUAUCAAUUAACCACAUUAUCAAAUACAUAAUGGUUGAUUUAACAAUUACUCUGUUGAAAUGUUUUUAGUUGUUGAAGGAAAAGUCAUAAGAUGGUAUCUGCAUGUCAAGUUUAUAUACUUGGAUAUGACAGAAUCCAAGUAGACAAAUGUUUUAGUAUGGCCGGGAUUUUGUCUCAAACCCUGACUUGGUGUUAAGGUUUAAGCUGAAUGCUCCCUUGAACAAGUAUAUUCAAGAGACUUUCUACACUGAUGAUGACCCUGUAGUUGGGUACACAAACUACCUUUUUCUGAACAAAGAAAGUGUUUGAUUUUGAUGCUGCUCAAUUGUUCUUGUUAGUUCAACUUAAACCCUUCUCAUAUAGAGAAAUUGUGAUUUGAAUUUGAUGAAAUAGUGUGUACAAAAAAAGGAUCGAAUUUAGGCUUCAAUUCCUUCAAAGCCUAGUUAGACUUAUCAAAUCCAAACCUUUUUUUUUGGAAAUAUCCAUGUAAGUUCACACUUUAUAUUUCCUAUUCUGGGAAUAUUGACUAAAGCUAGAUUACAAUUAAGGAACCUGAAUUUGAUUUCCCUUAACAACGGUCAAACACGACACUCGCCCUACACAGCAGCCGUUCCCUUCUACCAACCAAGAGUCAUCACUGACGUUUUUUAAUUACGGCGCCACUGUUUUUCUAUAUAAAACUCCCUCAUUAACGUACUCUUUCUGCAACUUGAACACAUACAUUGCCCAGUUCAGAUUUAACUUUGAUUGGAGUUCGAUUUCUAUACCUUGGAUAAGAAAACGAAAAUGGCAGAUCCUUCAUCCACGGGUGGACUCACUCUGUUCUCUCCUUACAAGAUGGGCAAGUUCAACCUCUCUCAUAGGUCAGAUACUCUUUGAUCAAUUAUACUAACUGUACAAUUUUGAAGAUUUAAGGCAUGAUUUUUAGGUUAAUAUUUGGAUGAUUUUGUUCUUUCUUUUACGUACAGAGUGGUGCUUGCGCCAAUGACGAGGAAUCGAGCGUUGAACGAACUUCCGCAGCCGGCGAUGGUCGAGUACUAUUCUCAGAGGUCAACCCCCGGUGGCUUUCUAAUCUCUGAAGGCACUUCGCCAUCAGACCAAAGCUUCGGGUAAUUUCGUAAUUCUCAAUGCUACACAAAUAUGAUAAUUUACAAAGCUUCAUUACCUUUCGACCAAAAACUGUAUAUUCGACUAAAAAUAAAUUAAAUAUACAAUAUAAGAAAUAUAUAAAAAUUAAUAUAUGUACUUGUAAAAAAACAGAAAUUUCAAGGAAAUAUCGAGCCUAGUUUAGUCCUGGACCUCAAACUAUAAAUUGAGUUCCCUGCUUUAAAAUCUGUUGGAUUUUGUUAGUGAGUUUGUUGUAUAUGGUGGGAGCAGGUUUCCACAUGUUCCUGGGAUUUACACCGAUGAACAAGUUGAGGCAUGGAAGAAGGUGGCUGAUGCUGUUCAUGCCAAAGGUGCCAUCAUUUUCUGUCAACUUUGGCAUGUAGGUCGUGCUUCUCAUCAAGGUAAUUAAUUCUGUCAGAUACAUAUAUGGCACUAUCAGUCUAUCACAGAGCUCUAUUUUGCAAAGAAAUCCUCAGCAGUGAACUGAUCAUUUUUCUACUUGUUAUUGUCAAAUGUUAUAGUUUUUCAACCAGGUGGGAGGUCGCCAAUUUCUUCAACCAGCAAUCCCAUCUCAAAGAAGUGGAAAGUUGCGUUGCCUGAUGGGUCUCAUGACGUUCACUCUGAACCUCGACGCCUCGAGACCCAAGAAAUACCCCAGAUUGUUGAGCAGUACCGUCAGGCUGCCUUGAAUGCCAUUCGAGCAGGUCAGUCUCAUUUCAUCACGUACUGGUUUAUUUUCAUAACGUGUACGCAUCACAUGCUCCGAAACACAAUGGCACAUUCUUUGAUCAUCGCGCAUACUAGAAGCUUUGAUCUUAUGAUGUAUCUUUGAUAAUGGACAGGUUUUGAUGGAGUUGAGAUCCAUUCGGCACAUGGCUACCUCAUCGAUCAAUUCUUGAAAGAUGGGGUCAAUGAUCGAACUGACGAGUACGGUGGCUCGCUUGCAAACCGCUGCAAGUUCUUGAUACAAACUGUUGAAGCAGUAGUUGAAUCCCUUGGUGCUGAUAGAGUUGCCGUCAGAAUCUCACCAGCUAUUGAUUUCUAUGAUGCUACAGACUCCGACCCGAUUGGCCUAGGCUUGGCAGUGAUUGAAAGACUCAACAAGCUUCAACAUAACAUAGGCUCAAAGCUCGCUUAUCUUCAUGUGACUCAGCCUCGAUUGACCACCAUUAUGACGCUGGCGCCGGCAGAGCUUGAUGAAGACAGAGAAGCUCAAUUUAUGAGGACUUUGCGGGAAGCUUAUGAAGGGGCGUUCAUGGCUAGUGGAGGGUUUACUAGGGAGCUAGGAAUGGAAACUGUGUCUUCUGGUGAUGCCGAUUUAGUGUCAUAUGGCCGGGAUUUUAUCUCAAACCCUGACUUGGUGUUGAGGUUUAGGCUGAAUGCUCCCUUGAACAAGUAUAAUAGGGAGACUUUCUACACCCAUGACCCUGUAGUUGGGUACACAGACUACCCUUUUCUAAACAUAGAAAGUUGAUAGAGGAUGACCACUACCCCGUUUGAUUUUGAUGCCGCUGAAAUUGUUAUUGUUCAAUAAAACCUUUUCAUAUAGAGAAAGUAAAAAUCAAAUAAAGAUCCAAGUAAACAUUUGUACCUAUGCAAAUAAGUUCUUUGCAGCUCCAGAUUCCCUACAAAUUAGUACUAAUGAAGCCCAAUCAAUAUUUGAAUUAUCAAUUAACUACAUUAUCAAAUACAUAAUGGUUGAUUUAAUAAUUACUCUGUUGAAAUGUUUUUAGUUGUUGAAGGAAAAGUCAUAAGAUGGUAUCUGCAUGUCAAGCUUAUACACUUGGAUAUGACAGAAUCCAAGUAGACAAAUGUUUUAGUAUGGCCGGGAUUUUAUCUCAAACCCUGACUUGGUGUUAAGGUUAAAGCUGAAUGCUCCCUUGAACAAGUAUAUUCAAGAGACUUUCUACACUGAUGACCCUGUAGUUGGGUACACAGACUACCUUUUUCUGAACAUAGAAAAUGUUUGAUUUUGAUGCUGCUAAAUUGUUCUUGUUAGUUAAACUUAAACCCUUCUCAUAUAGAGAAAUUGUGAUUUGAAUUUGAUGGAAUAGUGUGUACAAAAAAAGGAUCGCAUUUAGGCUUCAAUUCCUUCAAAGCCUAGUUAGACUUGUCAAAUCCAAAUAUUAUUAUUAUUAUUUUUUGGAAAUAUCCAUGUAAGUUCACACUUUAUAUUUCCUAUUCUGGGAUUAUUGACUAAGCUAGAUUACAAUUAAGGAACCUGAAUUUAACACGUCGUGGAGACACGCCCUAUUUGAUUACGAGCCCCCUCUAUAUAUUAGGCCCAGUUUGGGAACGAUUUUAAAACUGCUUUUGGGGUCAAAAGUGAUUCUGGGGCUAACCUGAGGUGUUUGGUAACCACCCGUAGAACUGAUUUUAGAGGAAUCGAUUAUCCUAAAAGCGGGUUUUAGAGAAGCAGGGCAAGAGGUGCUUUUGCGGGAAUCAAUUUCAGAAACACAGAAGGGUUAAAUGAAUCUUUCAUAAAUCCUAUUUUGCCCUUAUUCCUUUUUUAAGUCAUUGGUUAAGUCAUGUUUUAGUUCUCACAGCACUUUUAAAAACAGUUUACCAAACAUCUCAGCUAAUUCCUCUCACAGCAAUUCUAGAAGCAAUUCUUCUUACAGCAGUUCCAGAAGCAAUUCUUCUCACAGCACAGCUGUCCUAAACUGGGUCUUAGUCACCGACCACCACAGACCACACAACGCCUUCAGAAGUCAGAACAAUUCUACCAACCAAGAGUCAUCACUGAUGUCUUUUAAUUAGGGCGCCACUGUUUUUCUAUAUAAAACUCCCUCAUUAACCUUGGAUGAGAAAACGAAAAUGGCAGAUUCUUCAUCCACGGGUGGACUCACUCUGUUCUCUCCUUACAAGAUGGGAAAGUUCAACUUCUCUCAUAGGAUCAGGAUCCUCGCCUCGGCUAAUUUCAGCCUUGGUUAUCCUUGCCUUUUAUUCUUGUCCGUCCGACUGAAAUCUAACGCUUAUUAAUCAUCCACCUCAGCAAUUAACUAUUAAAUACCCUAAAAUUAGAAGUUCGAGGCUGACGACCGUCGUUAACUUUUUCUCUCCCGUUAUCUCCUCAAUUCCUCUUCGUCUUCUCCUAUUCUUUCUUUAUGCUGGAGUCCUCAACCUAUUCAAUCUUCCUGGUUAGAAGAAGGAUAUUCUACGGAUUAUCAGCAUCCCUAAUCUCUUGUGGUUUCAAAUUUCUAACCAACUAUGUUUCAACCCUUAUCAAUAUUCCAGAUUUUCUAGCACUUCUGGUUUCUUAUGGUUGAGGUUCAAAUGAGACUCAACAACCCCUGAGAGCAACUCCAUCAGUGGAGCUAAAAACAAAGACCACCCCUUGGAAAGAGAAAACCCAUCUCCAACGGACAAAAAGACAAGGAGCUGGAGUUGGAAUUUUAACACCCAGUGCCAUUUGAAGUCUUAUAUUCUGUGAUUUUCCAAGACCAGCCCCUAUGGGGCCCAUAUACAGCAGAUAUAUAUUUAUUGGAGACAGACUGACGUGCCCUGGAGGAGUUGUGACACAGACGCAUUAAUUCUUUCGUUGGGUGUGGAAGAAUGCGCCAUUGUUGGGCGUUGAAAUGGAAAAGCCUGAUGGAAGUGGCCUCACGUGACGCAAUUGGCCAUAUGACGCAGUCAAAGGUCUCCAAUGGCUAUGAAAUAAACGGAUGUGAUUAAUUAUCCAUUUAAAUUCAACAGCUGAGAUGAUUCAAACAUUUAUAUUUUUUUUUGACUCCAACGGAUAUAUACAUGAUCCAAAGGCUAUGAAUUUAUCAACAAAAAAAAAAGAUGGACGGUUGUGGAAUAAAACUUGCAAUUUAAAAUUCGUAUUUUUAUACAAAAAAUUACCAGAAAAUAUGUAAAAAAAUAUACCCGUUGGAACAGUGUUUUGGAGAAAACUCUAUAAAUACCAACCCAUUCUUUCAUAAUUCUUCACACCAAACAUCAUAUUUCCUUCUAAAUAUUUCAUUCCUUCACUCUUUUUGUUGUUCAAAGGUUUCAAGAGAAAAAAAUGGGUAAGAGGGGAGAUUCAUGGAGGCAUAAUGAAGAAGCUAUUCUUUGUGAAGUUUGGAUCACCGUCGGUGGUGAUGGUGCUACCGGAAUAAAUCAAAGUGCGGACACAUUGUGGGAGCGUGUUGCGGUGGAGUACAAUAAGAACAAACCGGCAAGUUGUAUGGAAAGAACAUCUUCUAGUGUUAACUCUCGUUGGAAGGUGAUAAAUCAAGCUUGUGGGACAAUUUGUGAAGUAUUGUGUCUGUGGCGACCUCGGAUUUCGAAUUGCUUGCACAAAUGAACCCCAUUUGGGGUAUAUGCCAUCAACUAGGUAAUAACAUUUGUUGUAAUGUCUAUUACCCACCUGGUAAAGAACUUCAGGGGUUUCACCAAGACACACAUCAUUGAACAAAAGAGAAUGUCCAAGUACGUUAAUAUCAUUUAGAGAACCUGGAAGUCCGAAAAAGGCAUGCCAAAUCCAAGUAUCGUAUGAUGCCACCGCCUCCAAGAUGAUAGUUGGUUUCCCCUUGUGGCCAGUAUAUUGCCCUGCCCAACCAGUGGGACAAUUUUUCCACCUCCAGUGCAUACAAUCAAGGCUCCCAAUCAUCCUUGGAAAUCCUCUAUCUGCAGCCUUGUCGAGCAGGCAUCGCAAAUCUACCGGUGUUGGUCGGCGGAGGUAUUACUCGUGGUACACAUUCCAUAUUGCUCUGGUGAAGUGCUCCAAGAUCUCGAUGGCAGUGGAUUUUGCAAUAUCCAUAUAAUCAUCAAAGAAGUCAGCUGUGAUCCCAUAUGCGAGUUGUCUCAUGGCGCAUGUCAGCUUUUGUUCAGUUGAUAGGCCGACUCUCCCGGUCGCAUCUCUUUUUUGAACAAAAUAUGAAUCGUAGUUGGCCACGUCGUGCAUCAUCCUGUCAAAGACCCAAGGUUGCAUUCGAUACCGCCUACGAAAUAUAUUUGGCUCAUACCUGCAUGAAUCUGUGAAGUAUUGAGCUUUAAGUCAUUGAUCCAUGAGCUCUCGAUCUCUAGCAUUAUAAGUACGACCUUCUGAAGAUCCACCCCAUUAUCUCUCCUCGUCUUCAUUGCUUUGAAUUUGCAAAGCAGCGGCGGCCAUCAUAUUGGAUCUUCGACGGUUUCUAUGGACAGCCUCUUCUUAAUCUUUUAAUAAAAAUUUUGUCAAACGAUUCAUUGCAGAAGAAGUUUGACAAAAUAGAUAGGAAAACAAUAUGGGGGGUUUGUAGGAUUUGGAUAUGAGAAGUGUUUGUGAAUUUGUGAGAGAUGAGGAUGACGCUAACCUCAUAUUUAUGGACGAUUUGGGAUGAUAUGAAUGGAUAAGAUAUGACACAUGUCAAACACAUACAACCCGGAAUCUGGAUAGCCCAGUAGAAUUUUGAAACGUGGCGACAAAAAUCACAUUGAAAUUGGGUUGUUUGUCGUAUAUGCCGACAUAACACAUCAAAUAUCUACAAAAUAGUGGCAAUGUUGUCAUAUAUGCCGACAAAACUCCAUAAAAGACUUAACAUGUAUAUAUAAUUUUUUUAAAAUAUUAUAUUAAAUGAUAAGAAUAAUUCAAAAUAUUAAGAAAAAAACAAAAAAUUAUUUUUACUAUUUUUAAUUAAAUUAACAUAUUAUUUAAUAUAAUAUUUAUUAACAUUAUACUCAAAUUAUAUUUUAAUCAAAAAUAUUGAGAAUAACACCUCCAUAUAGCACCUUAUUGUUGAAGAAGGAAAAUGAGUGAAAUAUGAAUAGUGCUACAAGGAGGUGCUAAAACGAGAAUAGCACCUCCAAAUAGCACUUGUUGUUGGAGUUGCUCUGAGAGAUCUCGAUCUCUUUCUUCGGACCCAACCGGAAUUCAACUGUUCGUCCUGGCUACUCAUUCUCCCUUUUUCCUUCUCCUUUCUCCCUUGCAAAUACCAUGCAGCGCUGCACAAUAGACAUACACAUCAAUUUGUCCGAAUUGGUUCUGUGUUUGGGUCGAACCCAGAACAAAACCAGAAAAUAAAUCAACUUUCCAAUUCACAAUGUAUCAAACGGACCCAAUACAAAUUCCGGGUAAAAAUAACAACCGGACUCCGGCAAAAGCCAAUACAAUCAUAAGUAUGGAGACAAAUCAAACCAAUGAUUCAUUUCUUCUUCUUUUUUGUGACAGGAAGAACAAAUUAUUUGUAAAAGAACUAAGAAAGAAAAACUUACAUAAUAAUAAACCCAGGAAAAAAAAAUAGAUCUGAACAAUAAAAUUGAACCUUGAGUUUCUUUGAUCUUUGUUAUUUUUUUGUGUGCUUUUUCGCUCGAGCAAUUCAUGAAGGUGGAGAAAUUAGGAAGAGAUAACUAUGAUUAUCAACUUAAUCAUGGAUUCUUUUGGCCGAAUAAUGAAUGAAAAAGAAUAGUUAUUCAUAGAUCGUUGUAACAGAAAAGAACAGAAAGACAAAAAUAAGAGAAGAAAGAGAUGGACGAUGAGAAGCAGAGCCGGCCCUGGGGCGGUCAAGGCAGCGCCGCCGCACAGGGCCCCCGGCCGNNNNNNNNNNNNNNNNNNNNUUUUGGUUUGAUUGAUGUUCCUCAUCUCUCUGCUCUGUUUCCUCCUGGUACUCAUACAGUCAUACUUCCUAUCUUCAUCUUCAAAUUUCUCAACUCCUUUCUCUUAAUUGGCUUUGUUUAUACACUCAAACUCUCUUGUUCUAUUCCCACACAAUAAAUUUAACAACUUGUUCUUUGUAUUGGUUUGUAAAUUUAGAAGCAAAGGAAGGGAGCUUGGAGGUUUGAAAGCAAUUGAGGCUGGGGCUUCAAAAUGGAAGGGCAGGAAGGCCUCAAGAGGUCCCAAUUUUCAAGCAGGUUAGUUGGUUAUUGUUUUGUUUCAAGCCAAAUUGAUUAUGAUCGAAUUUAGGAUUUUAAGUUCAGAUUUUCUUACUUGUAUUACAGUGUUAGUAAGAGAGCAGAUUAAAGAUUGAAAGAUUAAUUGAAUGUUAUGUGUAAGUGAGAUUCAAGAACAAGCAUUUGGUAUGAUCUCUAAACUUUGUUUGUACGUUUAUCUUUGUUUCCUACAGAGAAUUUGGAAUGUCUCGUACUAGGAAACAUCCUGCUUUAGCAAGAAGAUAUCCUUCUGGACAUCAGAAGCGUAAAAAAAGAAGCAAAAUAGAAAAAUUUGUAGAGUCUCAGAGUGGGGCAAUGGAUCAAUUUGUUGAAAUAAUACCGGGAAAUCCGUCACUUAAAGAUUUAGCUAAUGAAGAAAAAAAUGUUGGUGAUGAAUUAGAUGAUGGGUUAGCCUUGGAAAAUAAUGUGCAGGAAGAUAAGAAUGAGAAUGGAGGCAAUCAAAUUGAUGAUGGCUUGCACUCUGAAAAUGUUGAUGACCAGGAAGAUGAGAAUGAGGUUGGAGGCAAUCCAAUUGAUGGUAGCUUAGACUUUCACAAUGUUGAUGACCAAGGAGAUGAGAAUGAGGUUGGAGGCAAUCAAAUUGAUAAUGCCUCUGGUUUUGAAAAUGCUGAUGACAAGGAAGAUGGCAAUCAAGUUGAUGAUGGGAUAAACUUUGAUCAUGUAAGUGGUGAUGCCAAUGACAUUGGUCCCUCUGAAACUGAUGAUGAUGUGGUUAGUGUAGUGAACGAAGAACCAAGUUCAUCUCUUCCGGUUGACAUAUUUGAUCCAAGAAACUGGGAGGAUUUAGAUCUUAAAUGGAAGGAUCUGCUAGUGGAAAAAGGUCCUAUAAGAGAUGUCCUUACAGGGAAAGGUCCCAAAAAUAAAUCAAAACGGUGUUUCUCCUCAGACUUCUACACUCGGAUUUUACCAAACGGUCAAAAGCACCAUAGAGAUUGGUUGGUAUAUUCGAAAACACUUGACAAAGCAUUUUGUUUUUGUUGCAAAUUGUUUAAAAGGGGGCCUCAACCAAGUCAACUAGCAAAUGAGGGAUACUAUGAUUGGGGACAUGUUAGUGGCAGACUUAAAGAACAUGAGACAAGUGCUGAGCAUGUCAAUUACUAUGCUAGUUGGUGUGAGUUGCGUAUCAGAUUAGAGAAAGGUACAACAAUUGAUCAUGGUAUUCAAGAACAAAUCAAGAAGUCAAAAGUGCAUUGGAGGAUGGUGUUAUGUCGAUUAGUUUCUAUUGUGAAAUUUUUGGCUAAACAGAACUUAGCAUUUCGUGGUAGUAAAGAGAAGCUUUUUGAGGAUAGCAAUGGGAAUUUCAUGGCUGCGGUUAAAAUGAUUGCUGAGUGGGACUUGGUGAUGAAGGAGCACAUUGAGAAAAAGGUACAUCAUCAUUAUCUUAGCCACAAAAUUCAGAACAAGUUGAUAUGUUUGCUAGCUUAUGAAAUCAAGAGUUCUAUUCUUAAAAAAAUUAAAGAAGCUAAGUUCUUUUCUGUGAUACUUGAUUGUACUCCUGAUGUUAGCAACCAAGAGCAGAUGACUUUGGUUAUAAGAUGUGUUGAUGUGUCUACAGGUCCGAUAAAAGUAGAAGAAUACUUUCUAGGAUUUUUGAAAGUGGAUGAUACAACAGGUCAAGGCUUGUUUGAAGAGCUGCAGAAUGUGUUGAAAAGUUUUGGUCUUGAUAUUGAUGAUGUGAGAGGGCAGGGAUAUGAUAAUGGGGCAAAUAUGAGAGGGAAACACCAAGGUGUACAAAGAAGACUGUUGGAUAUAAAUCCUAGAGCAUUAUACACCCCAUGUGGCUGUCAUUCUUUGAAUUUAACUCUUUGUGACAUUGCAAACUCAUGUGAAAAAGCGAAAGACUUUUUUGGAGUAAUACAACGGAUUUAUACAAUAUUUGCUCAUUCUACAAAGAGGUGGAAGAUGUUGGUAGACCAUGUAACGGUAAAAGGGUUAACUCUCAAAUCAUUGUCCACCACUCGAUGGGAAAGUCGUAUUGAGAGUGUGAAAGCCAUAGUACUUCAAGCUCCACAAGUCAGAGAAGCUUUACUUGAACUUGCAGAAGAAAGAGAUACCGACUCCAAAAUAAGAAGUGAAGCUAAGUCUUUGGCUACAUUUGAACUUGGAAAAUUUGAGUUUUUAUUGGGCAUGGUUAUUUGGUAUGACAUUUUGGGCAAGGUCAACAUAGUUAGUAAAUCCUUACAAUCUGAAAACAUGCUUAUUGACAUUGCUAUGACCAAGAUUAAGGGGCUUAUUGCUUCAUUUGAAGAGUACAGAGAAACCAGAUUCAGACAAGGCAUCAAUACUGCAAAAGAACUUGCUUCAUCAAUGAAGAUUGAUCCUAUUUUUCCUGACAAGAGACAUAUAUAUAGAAAGAGAAAAUUUGAUGAGCUUUCAGGUGAGUCUUCUCAAACACCUCAAGAAUCUGCUGAGGAAGCUUUUAGAAUUCAUUAUUUCUUAUACAUAGUUGAUCAAACAAUUGGAUCAUUGAAGAAAAGGUUUGAGGAAUAUGAAGAUCUUUUUGGAUUCCUUUUUACAUCUGAUAAGUUGAAUUCAUUGGUUGAUGAGGAUUUGAAGGCUCGUUGCAAGAAUCUUGAAAGGAAGCUACAAAGAAAAGAGGGCUCGGGACAAGCUGAUUCAGAUUUGGAUGGAGAUGAACUAUAUCAAGAAUUAAAGAUCAUACAACAUCAUCUACCAAAAGAAACAAAAACAGCAGGUGCAAUACUAAACUUUUUACAAAGAAUGAAUUGUUUCCCCAAUGCAUUCAUUGCAUACAAGAUAUUAUUGACUGUUCCAGUGACCGUGGCAUCUGCAGAGAGAAGUUUUUCUAAAUUGAAGUUGCUAAAAUCUUGUUUGAGAUCAACCAUGACUCAAACAAGAUUGAAUGCAUUANNNNNNNNNNNNNNNNNNNNNNNNNNNNNNNNNNNNNNNNNNNNNNNNNNNNNNNNNNNNNNNNNNNNNNNNNNNNNNNNNNNNNNNNNUUGAUUAUGAAAAAUUGAUUGAUGACUUUGCUGAUAAGAGUGCAAGAAGAUCAAUUUUUCAUAGCUAAUUGUAUCUGUUGUUUCUUCUUUUAUUAGUGGACUAUUUUUUUUACGUCGUUAAUAUAUAUAAUCAGUGUUCUUUCAAAUUUUUUUUUCUUAACACAAAGGGCCCCAAUUUUUUUCUCGCACCGGGUCCUUCAAAACAUUGGACCGGCCCUGAUGAGAAGGUAAUAAGAAACUGAACAAAAACAGUAGCAGAAGAAAGAGGAAGACGAUGAGAAGGAGAAGAGACUAAGAAGUAAACGUCUACGCAAACGUUGUUUGUCAUUUAAUAUUAGAUUUAAUGAUGUUUAUUUCUUGUUCGGUGAUGUGUCACAAUUUAGUCCCUUGGAUAUCACAUGGACGAUUCAGUUGAAAGACAAGGACAGACAAGGAUAGACUAUAGCCAAGGAGAGGAUCUUGAUCCUCUCUCAUAGGUAAGCCUUGCUUUCGCAUUUCGUUAGAGACUGUUUGAUUCAACUAUAUUACAUGUAGCAUUUUGAUGAUUUACCCAAUGAAUUUAGAUUAAUAUUUUGAUGAAUUUGUUCUUACGUAGAGUGGUGCUUGCGCCAAUGACGAGGUGUCGAGCGUUGAACGAACUUCCGCAACCGGCGAUGGUCGAGUACUAUUCUCAGAAGUCAACCCCCGGUGGCUUUCUAAUCUCUGAAGGCACUUCGCCAUCCGACCAAAGCGCCGGGUAAUUUCAUUAUUUCUCAUUGCUAGCUACACAUAUGAUAAAUAAAUUACAAGAUUUCGCCUUGGUUUUACACAACCAAAACUUAUACAUUCGAGUAAAAAUAAACUGAAUAUACAAUAUCAGAAAGGUAUAAUAAUUAAUAUCAAUCUUAUAGAAAAACAAAAGUUUUGAGGAAUUAUCAAAAACAUCAAGAUCUAAAGCAAGAAAUUUUGAGGAAUUAUUUUCCGAUAAAUAAUCAAUAUUGGAAAGAUAUAGUAUUUUAGUCCUUGCUUUGGACCUCGAAGCAAGAAGAACAGGUUGAGGCAUGGAAGAAUGUGGUCGAUGUUGUUCAUGCCAAAGGUGCCAUCAUUUUCUGUCAACUUUGGCACGUAGGUCGUGCUUCUCAUCAAGGUAAUUUUGUCGCAUAUAUACAUGGCACUAUUGCAGAGCUCUAUUUUGUAAAAGAAAUCCUUAGCAGUGAACUGAUCAUUUUCCUACCUGUUAUAGGUCAAAUGUUAUAGUUCUUCAACGAGGUGGGGGGUCGCCAAUUUCUUCAACCAGCAAUGCCAUCUCAAAGAGGUGGAAAGUUCUGUUGCCUGAUGGGUCUCAUGACGCUUACCCUGAACCUCGACGACUCGAGACCCAUGAAAUACCCCAGAUUGUUGAGCAGUACCGUCAGGCUGCUCUGAAUGCCAUUCGAGCAGGUCGGUCUUAUUUUCAUCACAUAAUGGUUCCUUUUCAUAACGUGUAUGUAAUCUCACACUCUCAAUUCCCAAAUGGUAUUGUUAGAAUGUAUCACGGAUAUUUGACAACAUCACAUGCUCAGAAACACAAUGGUACAUUAUUCGUCGCGCAUACUAGAAGCUUUGAUUUUAUGAUGCAUCUUUAAUUCCCAUGGACAGGUUUUGAUGGAAUUGAGAUCCAUGGGGCACAUGGCUACCUCAUCGAUCAAUUCUUGAAAGAUGGGAUCAAUGAUCGAACUGAUGAGUACGGUGGCUCACUUGCAAACCGCUGCAAGUUCUUGAUCCAAAUUGUUGAAGCAGUAGUUGAAGCCCUUGGUGCUGAUAGAGUUGCCGUCAGAAUCUCACCAGCUAUUGAUUUCUAUGAUGCUACAGACUCCGACCCGAUUGGCCUAGGCUUGGCAGUGAUUGAAAGACUCAACAAGCUUCAACAUAACAUAGGCUCAAAGCUCGCUUAUCUUCAUGUGACUCAGCCUCGUUUCACCACCAUUAUGGCGCCGGCAGAGCUUGAUGAAGACAAAGAAGCUCACUUUAUGAGGACUUUGCGAGAAGCUUAUGAAGGAACAUUCAUGGCUAGUGGAGGGUUUACUAGGGAGCUAGGAAUGGAAACCGUGGCUUCUGGUGAUGCCGAUUUAGUUUCAUAUGGCCGGUAUUUUAUCUCAAACCCUGACUUGGUAUUGAGGUUAAGGCUGAAUAUUGCUCCCUUGAACAAGUAUAAUAGGGAGACUUUCUACACCCAUGACCCUGUAGUUUGGUACACAGACUACCCUUUUCUGAACAGAGAAAGUUUGAUAGAGGAUGACCACUAGGACUACCCCGUUUGAUUUUGAUGGUGCUGACCUUCUCUUAUAGAGAAUUGUGAUUUGAAUGUGAUGGGAUAAGUCAUAAGUGUGUAUGUUGAAACUACAAAGUACGUUCUACAAAGUAAAAAUCAAACAAAGAUCCAAGCAAAUAUUUGUACCUAUGCAAAUAAGUUCUUUGCAGCUCCAAAUACCCUAUUAAUUAGUACUCAUGAAUUAUAGAAGCACAAUCAAUAUUUGAAUUAUCAAUUAACUACAUUAAUUAUCAAAAACUCAAUGGUUGAUUUAACAUGCAACUCUGUCGAAAUGUUUCUAGCCGUUGAAGGAAAAGUCAUAAGAUGGUAUCUGUCAAGCUUGUAUACUUGGAGAUGACAAAAUUCAGGCGGAGAGAUCAUAUGUUUUAGUCAUUUAGUGACAUAAAUGAUGGUACUCUGGUGUUCAUUUUGUUUUUUGUGUGGCUUCAACUUCUACUCCUAUAUAUUGAAAGAAACAUGUUAAGCUAAAGUUUCUUUAUGAUAGAAUAUAUAAUAUAUAUCACUGCUACCUCAUAUUUAUCACCUGAAUACGUCGACGUCAAUAAAUCACUGCAUGUGGCUCAGUGGUUAUUGUGUAGUUAGCUGUGUUCUCCAAUCUAGGUUUGAACUUUAAAGCUGUUAAAGUGGUUAGACAUUAUGUUGCAACGCAUAUUUAAAGCAUUUCAUACGCGUCGAUGAAUUAACUUUCUAAGCCUACGAAUACGCAUGUAACACCCUAAUACCAAUACAUAAUUAGAGCAUUUCACAGACGCCGAUGAAAUAAUUAUAUGUCUAAUUUAUAGGCGAAAGACGGUCUUUGAGGUAUCCAAACACUCGCAAAAGAAAAAAAAAACAUCACAUCAUACUAUGGUGUCAAAAAAGGAACCAAUAUUAAACUAAGGCCACAUGAACCAAUAACAAGGUUUAAUUCGAGCAUUAACAAUUUUAAUAGCAUUUCCAGGCGAUCAAUUUAGGUCCUCAACCCAAACAAGAAAAAAAAAAAAGUAAUUGAAUCAAUGCUUCAACGCCUGGUUAGACUAAUCAAAUCCAAACCCGUUUCAAAUUCACAAAUCACAACUGGAUGUUCACAAACGCUCCCGCGUAGAAAUAUAAAAUAUUACACCGGUCAAACACGCCGUAGUCUGACCUUCCAUUUUACAUUUUCCAAAACAAACGAGGUCGGAGAUCCACAAAAACAAUUCGCACGCAAAUAACACUUCCCCUCUUCGAUUACGACCCGCGCCUCUAUUAGUCACCGACCACCACAUAAAACGCCUUCAGACUCACCAGAACAACCAAGAGUCAUCACUGACGUUUUAGGGCACCACUGUUUUGAGUUUUCCUAUAUAAACCUCCCUCAUCAACUCUUUCUACAACCUGAACACAUUGCCCUGCUCAGGUUUUUUUAGAUAAGAAAACGAAAAUGGCAGAUUCUUCAUCCACGGGACUCACCCUGUUCUCUCCUUACAAGAUGGGCAUGUUCAACCUCUCUCAUAGGUCAGUCACCCUUUUGCUACAUGUUACAUUUUGAAGAUUUACGCAAUGAUUUUUGGAUUAAUAUUUGGAUGAAUUUGCUCUUUCUAUUACAGAGUGGUACUUGCGCCAAUGACGAGGUGUCGAGCGUUGAACGAACUUCCGCAGCCGGCGCUGGUGGAGUACUAUUCUCAGAGGGCAACCCCCGGUGGCUUUCUAAUCACUGAAGGCACUUCGCCGUCCGACCAAAGCGCCGGGUAAUUUCGUAAUUCUCAGUGUUACCCUAUUAUGAUAAAUUACAAGACUUCAUUGCCUUUACUCGAUCUUUGGACCUCGAACUCUUUAGUCCCAUGCUUUAAACGAGUUAAAGAUUUUCUUACUUUGUUGUAUAUGAUGGAAGCAGGUUUCCACAUGUUCCUGGGAUUUACACCGAUGAACAAGUUGAGGCAUGGAAGAAGGUGGUCGAUGCUGUUCACGCCAAAGGUGCCAUCAUUUUCUGUCAACUUUGGCAUGUAGGUCGUGCUUCUCAUCAAGGUAAUUUUGUCACAUAUAUACAUGUUAUAGCUCUAAUUUGCACAAAGAAUUCCUCAGCAGUGAACUGAUCAUUUUUCUACUUCUUAUUCUUCUAAUGUUAUAGUUCUUCAACGAGGUGGGGGGUCACCAAUUUCUUCAACCAGCAAUGCCAUCUCAAAGAGGUGGAAAGUUCUGUUGCCUGAUGGGUCUCAUGACGCUUACCCUGAACCUCGACGACUCGAGACCCAUGAAAUACCCCAGAUUGUUGAGCAGUACCGUCAGGCUGCCC
rnacentral:lncRNA from 1 species